rnacentral:rRNA from 1 species
ACACAUGCAAGUCGAACGGUAACAGGCAAUUUUUUCGGAAGUUGUGCUGACGAGUGGCGGACGGGUGAGUAACGCGUAGGAAUCUAGCCGAAGGUGGAGGGACAGCCCGAGGAAACUCGGGCUAAUACCGCAUGAUGUUUUCGGACUAAAAGGUGGGACCUUCGGGCCACUUGCCUUUGGAUGAGCCUGCGUUGGAUUAGCUAGUCGGUGGGGUAAUGGCCUACCGAGGCGACGAUCCAUAGCUGGUCUGAGAGGAUGAACAGCCACACUGGGACUGAGACACGGCCCAGACUCCUACGGGAGGCAGCAGUGGGGAAUAUUGGACAAUGGGGGCAACCCUGAUCCAGCAAUGCCGCGUGUGUGAAGAAGGCCUGCGGGUUGUAAAGCACUUUCGGUGGUGAGGAAGGCUGUUUUUCGAAUAGGAAGACAGAUUGACGUUAACCACAAAAGCAGCACCGGCUAACUCUGUGCCAGCAGCCGCGGUAAUACAGAGGGUGCAAGCGUUAAUCGGAUUGACUGGGCGUAAAGGGCGUGUAGGUGGAAGUUUAAGUGACGUGUGAAAUACCUGGGCUUAACCGAGGGAUUGCAUGUUAUACUGGGCAUCUUGAGUCUUGGAGAGGGAAGUAGAAUUUCCGGAGUAGCGGUGAAAUGCGUAGAUCUCGGAAAGAAUACCGGUGGCGAAGGCGGCUUCCUGGCCAAAGACUGACACUGAGGCGCGAAAGCGUGGGUAGCGAACAGGAUUAGAUACCCUGGUAGUCCACGCAGUAAAUGGUGAGUACUGGAUGUUGGCGA